UACAGAGGUCCCAAGCGUUGUUCGGAUUCACUGGGCGUAAAGGGUGCGUAGGCGGUCGGGUAAGUCUGACGUGAAAUCUUCAAGCUUAACUUGGAGACUGCGUCGGAUACUAUUCGGCUGGAGGAAUGGAGGGGAGACUGGAAUACUUGGUGUAGCAGUGAAAUGCGUAGAUAUCAAGUGGAACACCAGUGGCGAAGGCGAGUCUCUGGACAUUUCCUGACGCUGAGGCACGAAAGCCAGGGGAGCAAACGGG
rnacentral:rRNA from 1 species